UUAAGCGACUAAGCGUACACGGUGGAUGCCCUGGCAGUCAGAGGCGAUGAAGGACGUGCUAAUCUGCGAAAAGCGUCGGUAAGGUGAUAUGAACCGUUAUAACCGGCGAUGUCCGAAUGGGGAAACCCAGUGUGAUUCGUCACACUAUCGUUAACUGAAUACAUAGGUUAACGAGGCGAACCGGGGGAACUGAAACAUCUAAGUACCCCGAGGAAAAGAAAUCAACCGAGAUUCCCCCAGUAGCGGCGAGCGAACGGGGAGCAGCCCAGAGUCUGAAUCAGCUUGUGUGUUAGUGGAACGGUCUGGAAAGUCCGACGGUACAGGGUGAUAGUCCCGUACACCAAAAUGCACAGGUUGUGAACUCGAAGAGUAGGGCGGGACACGUGGUAUCCUGUCUGAAUAUGGGGGGACCAUCCUCCAAGGCUAAAUACUCCUGACUGACCGAUAGUGAACCAGUACCGUGAGGGAAAGGCGAAAAGAACCCCGGCGAGGGGAGUGAAAAAGAACCUGAAACCGUGUACGUACAAGCAGUGGGAGCACCUUCGGGUGUGACUGCGUACCUUUUGUAUAAUGGGUCAGCGACUUAUAUUCUGUAGCAAGGUUAACCGUAUAGGGGAGCCGCAGGGAAACCGAGUCUUAACUGGGCGUUAAGUUGCAGGGUAUAGACCCGAAACCCGGUGAUCUAGCCAUGGGCAGGUUGAAGGUUGGGUAACACUAACUGGAGGACCGAACCGACUAAUGUUGAAAAAUUAGCGGAUGACUUGUGGCUGGGGGUGAAAGGCCAAUCAAACCGGGAGAUAGCUGGUUCUCCCCGAAAGCUAUUUAGGUAGCGCCUCGUGAAUUCAUCUUCGGGGGUAGAGCACUGUUUCGGCUAGGGGGUCAUCCCGACUUACCAACCCGAUGCAAACUACGAAUACCGAAGAAUGUUAUCACGGGAGACACACGGCGGGUGCUAACGUCCGUCGUGAAGAGGGAAACAACCCAGACCGCCAGCUAAGGUCCCAAAGUCAUGGUUAAGUGGGAAACGAUGUGGGAAGGCACAGACAGCCAGGAUGUUGGCUUAGAAGCAGCCAUCAUUUAAAGAAAGCGUAAUAGCUCACUGGUCGAGUCGGCCUGCGCGGAAGAUGUAACGGGGCUAAACCAUGCACCGAAGCUGCGGCAGCGACACUAUGUGUUGUUGGGUAGGGGAGCGUUCUGUAAGCCUGCGAAGGUGGCCUGUGAGGGUUGCUGGAGGUAUCAGAAGUGCGAAUGCUGACAUAAGUAACGAUAAAGCGGGUGAAAAGCCCGCUCGCCGGAAGACCAAGGGUUCCUGUCCAACGUUAAUCGGGGCAGGGUGAGUCGACCCCUAAGGCGAGGCCGAAAGGCGUAGUCGAUGGGAAACAGGUUAAUAUUCCUGUACUUGGUGUUACUGCGAAGGGGGGACGGAGAAGGCUAUGUUAGCCGGGCGACGGUUGUCCCGGUUUAAGCAUGUAGGCUGGUUAUCCAGGCAAAUCCGGAUAAUCAAGGCUGAGGUGUGAUGACGAGGCACUACGGUGCUGAAGUAACAAAUGCCCUGCUUCCAGGAAAAGCCUCUAAGCAUCAGGUAACAUUAAAUCGUACCCCAAACCGACACAGGUGGUCAGGUAGAGAAUACCAAGGCGCUUGAGAGAACUCGGGUGAAGGAACUAGGCAAAAUGGUGCCGUAACUUCGGGAGAAGGCACGCUGGUGUGUAGGUGAAGUCCCUGCGGAUGGAGCUGAGACCAGUCGAAGAUACCAGCUGGCUGCAACUGUUUAUUAAAAACACAGCACUGUGCAAACACGAAAGUGGACGUAUACGGUGUGACGCCUGCCCGGUGCCGGAAGGUUAAUUGAUGGGGUUAUCCGUAAGGAGAAGCUCUUGAUCGAAGCCCCGGUAAACGGCGGCCGUAACUAUAACGGUCCUAAGGUAGCGAAAUUCCUUGUCGGGUAAGUUCCGACCUGCACGAAUGGCGUAAUGAUGGCCAGGCUGUCUCCACCCGAGACUCAGUGAAAUUGAACUCGCUGUGAAGAUGCAGUGUACCCGCGGCAAGACGGAAAGACCCCGUGAACCUUUACUAUAGCUUGACACUGAACAUUGAGCCUUGAUGUGUAGGAUAGGUGGGAGGCUUUGAAGCGUGGACGCCAGUCUGCGUGGAGCCAACCUUGAAAUACCACCCUUUAAUGUUUGAUGUUCUAACGUUGGCCCCUGACCGGGGUUGCGGACAGUGUCUGGUGGGUAGUUUGACUGGGGCGGUCUCCUCCCAAAGCGUAACGGAGGAGCACGAAGGUUAGCUAAUCCUGGUCGGACAUCAGGAGGUUAGUGCAAUGGCAUAAGCUAGCUUGACUGCGAGCGUGACGGCGCGAGCAGGUGCGAAAGCAGGUCAUAGUGAUCCGGUGGUUCUGAAUGGAAGGGCCAUCGCUCAACGGAUAAAAGGUACUCCGGGGAUAACAGGCUGAUACCGCCCAAGAGUUCAUAUCGACGGCGGUGUUUGGCACCUCGAUGUCGGCUCAUCACAUCCUGGGGCUGAAGUAGGUCCCAAGGGUAUGGCUGUUCGCCAUUUAAAGUGGUACGCGAGCUGGGUUUAGAACGUCGUGAGACAGUUCGGUCCCUAUCUGCCGUGGGCGCUGGAGAAUUGAGGGGGGCUGCUCCUAGUACGAGAGGACCGGAGUGGACGCAUCACUGGUGUUCGGGUUGUCAUGCCAAUGGCACUGCCCGGUAGCUAAAUGCGGAAGAGAUAAGUGCUGAAAGCAUCUAAGCACGAAACUUGCCCCGAGAUGAGUUCUCCCUGAGACUUUAAGUCUCCUGAAGGAACGUUAAAGACGAUGACGUUGAUAGGCCGGGUGUGUAAGCGCAGCGAUGCGUUGAGCUAACCGGUACUAAUGAACCGUGAGGCUUAACCUU
rnacentral:rRNA from 1 species